rnacentral:rRNA from 1 species
CCUACGGGAGGCAGCAGUGAGGAAUAUUGGUCAAUGGACGUAAGCCUGAACCAGCCAUGCCGCGUGAAGGAUGAAGGCUCUAUGGAUUGUAAACUGCUUUUGUACGGGGAUAAAGUCCGGUACGUGUCUCGGUUUGAAAGUACCUUAUGAAUAAGGAUCGGCUAACUCCGUGCCAGCAGCCGCGGUAAUACGGAGGAUCCGAGCGUUAUCCGGAUUUAUUGGGUUUAAAGGGUGCGUAGGCGGGUUGUUAAGUUAGCGGUGAAAUGCCGUGGCUCAACCCGAGAAUUGCCGUUGAUACUGGGGGGCUAGAGUAUAGUUGCGGCAGGCGGAAGGCGUGGUGUAGCGGUGAAAUGCUUAGAGAUCAGGCAGAACACCGAUUGCGAAGGCAGCUUACCAAGCUAUAACUGACGUUGAGGCACGAAAGCGUGGGUAGCAAACAGGAUUAGAUACCCUGGUAGUC